GUAGGGAAUAUUGGGCAAUGGUCGGAAGACUGACCCAGCCAUGCCGCGUGCAGGAAGACGGCCCUCUGGGUUGUAAACUGCUUUUAUCUGGGAAGAAAAAGGCCAUGCGUGGCAAAUUGCCGGUACCAGAUGAAUAAGCACCGGCUAACUCCGUGCCAGCAGCCGCGGUAAUACGGAGGGUGCGAGCGUUGUCCGGAUUUAUUGGGUUUAAAGGGUGCGUAGGCGGCUGAUUAAGUCAGCGGUGAAAGACUUCGGCUUAACCGGAGCAGUGCCGUUGAUACUGGUUGGCUGGAGUGUCGGAGGGGUACAUGGAAUUGAUGGUGUAGCGGUGAAAUGCAUAGAUACCAUCAGGAACACCGAUAGCGAAGGCAUUGUACUGGCCGACAACUGACGCUGAUGCACGAAAGUGUGGGGAUCGAACAGGAUUAGAUACCCCUGUAGUCC
rnacentral:rRNA from 1 species